GCAGGAGCUCAUAAGGUGAUCACAGUUUUCCGUAGUUUUUCAUUUUAGUAUUCUGUGGUUUAAAGUGUGUCAAGUUAGUAUCCUGUAGUUUUAUUUUUAUUUUUUUGUCAGCUUGUCCGUUAAUAUUUCGUUAAAUUAUAUACAAAAACUUAAGAUACUCCACUUAAAUUUAUUGAAUAUUCACUUUAGUUCUCUUUAGUUUUAACUUUGUCACUGAUUUAACAAAAAAAAAGUUAUGGAAUCGAUAAUAAUAAAAUAAUGAUAAAACCACAUAAUACUAAAUUGAUACACUUUAAACUAUAGGGUAUUAAAGUGAGAAAAUGUGAAACCACAAGAAUAAUAUUUGAAGUUUUUUCAAAAUCAAAUGCAUUGCUCAC
rnacentral:lncRNA from 1 species